ensembl:lncRNA
UUUUUUUUUUUUUUUUUUUUUUUUUUUGGCCACGCCUGCAGCAUGCAUAAGUUCCCUGGUCAGGGAUAGAACCUGAGCCACGACAGUGACAACACCAGAUCCUUAACCUGCUAAGCCACCAGGGAACUCCCGAGAAGUGGUUAUUUUUAAGGUGAAGUUCUUGCUCAUUUCUUACAGGUGUCUCAGGAUACAAUUUUCUGCUCUUUAGUCCUCAUUUACUUUGAAAUUCAGCAAUCUUCCACCUGCCUGUUUGGCAUGUAAUUACAUAUUACAUGUAAGAAUGAACCAUCUCGUCCAAGAAUUUCAUUUUCUUCAGUCUUCCUGUGUGUCAUCCUCCAGUGCCCGUGCAAGGGUCCUGUUUACAACGCCCACGCUCUUCACGGAGGAUGAUCCAGACAGGCAGGUGCAUCCAGUCACUGGCACAUCUGGUUUCUCUUCACAGAGAAAAAGAGUCUGUUGAUCGACCAUUAUCGGCUUCUUGUCUUGGCUGGAUCCACCACAGAAAAGGCUAUGGGAGAAUGUCCACUGGCAUGCCUAACUUGUAAAUCACAGUCAUAAAAUCAGAGGAAAAAUCACACACCACUCACUAAUUUGUAUGCCAAAUUUAUAAAUCUAAAGUUUUUAUAGAAAGAGGCAACUUAGGAGUACCCACUUUGGCUCAGCAGGUUAAGAACACAACACAGUGUCCCUGAGGACAUGGGUUCGAAUCCAGGCCUCACUCAGUGGGUUAAGGAUCUGGCAUUGCUGCAAGCUAUGGUGUAGACGCAGAAGCGGCUUGGCUCUGGUGUUGCUGUGGCUGUGGCAUAGACUGCCAGCUGCAGUUCUGAUUUGACCCCUAGCCUGAGAACUUCCAUAUGCCACAGGUGUGGCCCUAAAAAGAAAAAAAAAAAAAAAGAGGCAACUUAAAGGAAUACUGUUAUGUGUGUCUCUGUGACUAUUUUGGCAUUGAAAAGUCCUGGCCUUAGGAUUGCUCACUGUUCUUAAAAAUCAUGUUCUUUUUAUUCGAUCAAUAAACACUUAACUUCUACCAUGGGCAAGUCACAGGAACUUUGGUUUAUCCUUCCUAAAAGAAAGCAAAGGGCCUCAUACUGAGUUUAAGGCAGUAAUAAGAACGUGUCUAUUUAUGCCUGAGUGUUCGAGUCAGCUUUAAGGCAGUCUCUCUCAUAUGAGAGGAAAAAGAUGCAGGGAAAGAAGUGAGGCACUGCGAACCUACUAUGCAUCCAACACCAAGCCGAGAACUGGGUGGGUGUAUAUUGCAGAACUCUUAAGCUUCUCAAGAACUAUGGCAGGGUAUUUAUUCUUCCCAUUUCAAGGACAAGGAUUAAAAAGCUUUGAUGAGUUUAAGACGUGUUCAAAAUCAUUCCCCAUGCUACACUAUAGCCGAUGCUCUUAGCUGAUACACCGCAGGAAGAGCAAUCCAUGUGAUCCUGGAAUUUCAAAGCAGAUCUGAGGGACUCCCAAAUAACAACGUAUUGUUUUGGUCAUUAAUUCUACAACGCAAGAUGCUGUAAAUUUCUCUGGACUGAGAAAUUGCGUGAGUACAGCUUUUCUAUGUUACUGUAAAUUCCUUUGGUGAGGAAGGAGCCCUUAAAUUAUGCAUUCCCUAUGCCAAGAAACAUGUGAGUAAAAUCUUCCUUCACUUCCCCAAAAAAAGUUUUUAAUGAAAUGAAGAACACUUUGCUAUAAUCCUGCCAAUUCCUCAGUAUUAAGAAGUAAAAGUCUAUAACAAACCUCUCUUGAUAUUUUAGGAAACACAAAAUCAAGAUAAUCCUCCAGUUUUGAGAAUAUAUUUGUCCCUCAGCAAUUUCUUUUGUCUUAAAAAAUUAAGGAUAUUAUGAAUAUUCGAUAAAGGAAAAAACACUGUGAAAAAAAUUACUCUUAUUGAGUGUAAUUACCUCCAAACACAAUUCAUCUUUCUCUUACAUCUUAUAUUCUAACUCUUACCUCAUCUUCAUUAAUGAAAAGGAAUUAAUGCGCUUGCUUGAAUAGUUCUCUGCUUAUUUUAAAGUUUGCUUCCUCUAGCUUUAGGGAGGAAGUCUUUAAUAUUCAUUGGCUGUUUCACUGUUCGAGAUUGUGCCUCUUAAUUUUGGCAGAGGGUUAUUAUUUUCAAACUCCAACAGCAGACACAGAGAGAAGAUUUAAAUUUGGCAAAAUAAUUGAAGCUAGACAUUAUACAGAUAGAAAACUUGACAUGACCAAGGAACCCCCUUUUUGGUUGCAGUAGAUUGUAUCAUAAUGCCCAGCGUGAAAAUAAUAGAUUUUUCAGAAACCGAGUCCUUUCUACUAACAGUUCAACAAAUGCAUAUACAUGUACAUCUGUGAAAUAAAUCUGCCACAGAUGCUGCACCUGGAAAUGAGGUCUCGAACAGGAAGCCAUUUAUUAUCACAAUAAAUUAUAUCUAUAAUCUGUAGACACCCCCACUCCUUAAAAAAAAAAAAAAACUAACUUGGAAAUUUUAAAGACUCUAGUUCACUUGAAAAAAAAAAUGAUGAAAGGUUGAUCAGAGUGUAAUUCUUACAAAACUGCGAGCUCUAAUAUGAAGUUUAAAAGACAAUGUAUACAUGCUUUGAGAGCUUAAUUUCCUUGCCUUUGUACUUAAGAAUGAGACAUUUUACCCAGUGUCCUUCUAGAAGUAGCUAAACUAUAUAUACAUUUUAGAUUUUUAAAGCAGUAUUGUGAUAAUAUCACUGUAACCCAUUCCUAGGGACCGGUAUAUACAAGGGAGAAAUAAAUGCAAAUUUCUUUUUCUUUGAGAGUUCCCUACUCUUGAGCAUCACCAAUGUCAUGUAAACAUACAUCUCUUACGUACUUCUGAGGAGUAAGUACAGGGAAGAUUCUGGAAUACAGUACUGUCCAGCUGCUUGAUCUGCUCAGAUCACCUUUUAACUAAGUUUUUGGUCCUGUCUGUAUGGUUGUAUUUUCUAAGCAGAAAAGAAAGCUGCCAACAUUCAAAGACAAGAACAGUGGGAAUUAGAAAACCUCUUGGAGUUCUCAUCAUGGCGCAGUGGAAAUAAAUCUGACUAGGAACCAUGAGGUUGUGGGUUUGAUUCCUGGCCUUGCUCAGUGGGUUAAGGAUCCGGUGUUGCCGUGAGCUGUGGUAUAGGUCGUGAGCUAUGGUGUAGGAUGUGAUCCCUGGCCUGGGAACUUCUGCAUGCCUCGGGAGCAGGCGAAAAAUUAAAAUAAUAAAAUGACUAUACUCAAGUGAAAGAUCAUUUUGGAAAUGAUGUAAUGCCUAGCUAAUGGCAGAAAACUUUUGGUCUUAUAUUACACUUAAACAUGGAAACGCUAUAAAAUUUGGUUGUGAUGAUUGUUGUACACCUAUAAAUGUAAUAAAGUUCAUUAAGUAAUAAAAAACUGAGUCAGUACCCAAAUGCUUAGCUACCUUCAUUUCCUUUUGUGAAGAAGCCAUAGUAUGGGGGACAGAAUUCCAAAACAAGCAGAAUCCCAACAUUACAAUGGUGUAUCUUUAAAACAUGAACUCAGUACUUCCUUAUGUGUGAUAUUUCACUGCCUUUUCUCUAGCUAUUGUAAGUUUGUUACCCAAUGAACUAGGUUGAUUAUUCCAGAAUUUUUCCAAGCAAAAAGUUAAGCUGAUGAGUAUAUCCAUGGUCAUCAUCCAUCUCCCUUUUUGAAAGAAGGUUCUAAAUAUGCCCUUUUCCAGUCUUCAGGCACCUCAUCAGUCCUCCACGGGUUCUCAAAAAUGAUAUCUAGCGGUUCUGUGAUGACUUCGGCCAAUUCAUUAAGUACGCUAGGAUGCCAGCCAUUGGGACCUGUGGAUUUGAACAUAUCGGGGUUAUUUAAGUUCUCCUUUACCCAUUCUUCCCCUAGUCCAUCAUGGAUUCCUGCUCCAAAGUUUAAGUCACACUUUUCUCUUUCUGGUUACUGUCUGGAUUUUUGGAAACGAGCUUUAAAGUCUGUUUUUUAAUCCAUCAGUUUUCUCUUUGAGGCUAACAAAUGAAAAAUGUGUUUUGUUCUUCUCAAGCCUACGUCUUGUUUUUUAAAAAGGCCCCCUUGGAGUUCCCACUGGGGUGCAACAGGAUCAGCACCAUCUCUGCAGCACUGGGGCAUAAGUUUGAUCCCUGGCCCAACACAGUGGGUUAAGGAUCCAGCAUUGCCACAACUGCAGCUUAGGUCACAACCGCAGCUCAAAUCUGAUCCCUGGCCCAGGAACUUUGGUGGGGCAGCCAAAAAGUUUAAAAAAAAAAAAAAAAAAAAAAAAA